rnacentral:rRNA from 1 species
UACGGGAGGCAGCAGUGGGGAAUAUUGCACAAUGGGCGCAAGCCUGAUGCAGCCAUGCCGCGUGUAUGAAGAAGGCCUUCGGGUUGUAAAGUACUUUCAGCGGGGAGGAAGGGAGUAAAGUUAAUACCUUUGCUCAUUGACGUUACCCGCAGAAGAAGCACCGGCUAACUCCGUGCCAGCAGCCGCGGUAAUACGGAGGGUGCAAGCGUUAAUCGGAAUUACUGGGCGUAAAGCGCACGCAGGCGGUUUUGUUAAGUCAGAUGUGAAAUCCCCGGGCUCAACCUGGGAACUGCAUCUGAUACUGGCAAGCUUGAGUCUCGUAGAGGGGGUAGAAUUCCAGGUGUAGCGGUGAAAUGCGUAGAGAUGUGGAGGAAUACCGGUGGCGAAGGCGGCCCCUGGGACAAAGACUGACGCUCAUGUGCGAAAGCGUGGGGAGCAAACAGGAUUAGGAUAACC